rnacentral:rRNA from 1 species
ACAUGCAAGUAGAACGCUGAAGGAGGAGCUUGCUUCUCUGGAUGAGUUGCGAACGGGUGAGUAACGCGUAGGUAACCUGCCUGGUAGCGGGGGAUAACUAUUGGAAACGAUAGCUAAUACCGCAUAAUAGUAGAUGUUGCAUGACAUUUGCUUAAAAGGUGCAACUGCAUCACUACCAGAUGGACCUGCGUUGUAUUAGCUAGUUGGUGGGGUAACGGCUCACCAAGGCGACGAUACAUAGCCGACCUGAGAGGGUGAUCGGCCACACUGGGACUGAGACACGGCCCAGACUCCGACGGGAGGCAGCAGUAGGGAAUCUUCGGCAAUGGACGGAAGUCUGACCGAGCAACGCCGCGUGAGUGAAGAAGGCUUUCGGAUCGUAAAGCUCUGUUGUAAGAGAAGAACGAGUGUGAGAGUGGAAAGUUCACACUGUGACGGUAUCUUACCAGAAAGGGACGGCUAACUACGUGCAGCAGCCGCGGUAAUACGUAGGUCCCGAGCGUUGUCCGGAUUUAUUGGGCGUAAAGCGAGCGCAGGCGGUUAGAUAAGUCUGAAGUUAAAGGCUGUGGCUUAACCAUAGUACGCUUUGGAAACUGUUUAACUUGAGUGCAAGAGGGGAGAGUGGAAUUCCAUGUGUAGCGGUGAAAUGCGUAGAUAUAUGGAGGAACACCGGUGGCGAAAGCGGCUCUCUGGCUUGUAACUGACGCUGAGGCUCGAAAGCGUGGGGAGCAAACAGGAUUAGAUACCCUGGUAGUCCACGCCGUAAACGAUGAGUGCUAGGUGUUAGACCCUUUCCGGGGUUUAGUGCCGCAGCUAACGCAUUAAGCACUCCGCCUGGGGAGUACGACCGCAAGGUUGAAACUCAAAGGAAUUGACGGGGGCCCGCACAAG